rnacentral:lncRNA from 1 species
CCAAGACUGUCUUUGUUUAUUUUUUUAGACUCGAAAAAAUGAACCGACGUGUAAAAGAUUUGAUGCAGGCAAUACCAUUCAUUUCAUUUUUAUUCAUCAUAACCACCAACAUGAAAGAAGAUAAAAUUCGGAUUUGAACGCAAGGUAUCCGCGUUUGACUCCGGUGAUAAACCAAUUCACAAGACAUCCGUUUUCCAGCGUUGAGGACCCCACCACAUGGUAAACGACUAUUUCGUAAAUCUGGGAAGAUAAACACCAAAUACUGAACAAAGUGAGUGAAAUUAAAAUCCAUAUGUGGUCAGUUCAUAACGACAAUUAAUUCUAAAACCUGGUACCACUGCAAUUUGUCUCUGAUAUGUAUUAUGUUCCCGGUGAUUUUAUAAUUAGGCCAAACAAAAGGUGACAUCCCAUUAGUCCGACAACCAUUAUUCCGACAGCCCAUUACUCCGACAGCCUAUUAUUCCGACAGCCCAUUACUCGACAGCCGCUAUUCCGACAGCCAAUACUCCGACAGCCACUGUUCCGACAGCCCAUUACUCCGACAGCCCAUUACUCCGACAAUGCAUCUGUCUUGUGUGUAUUGGUAAUUUUUCUUUAAAAAAACCAACUCUGUUCUCUUCAAUAUUUGGGGUUGUCCGUUUUGAUUCCUAUUAUUCUUUCCAUGCGGGAGAGUUGAACUUGUCUCAUUAUAUUGGAGUUGAUACACAUGCUAAUUGCUACUGCUAAGUCCUUACAUUCGACCCUGUUUCGUUUUACGUGUUUGGGUAUUUAUUUGUUUACAUUUCGUCGUUUGUGUGUCAACUGUCAGUCUGUGAUGUUCUAGUUCGCCUGGUGUUUUUUAUGAAUACGGUAUCAUGUUCGGGAAUGUGAAUCCACGAAAUACUGAGACAACUACAAGUCACUUCUAAAAACGAAUGAUCAGACAUAGUCUGAGAGAUUACACUCAAUAUAUUUGUAGGGAUACCAAUUUUAUAUCCCAAGCUUAUUUCAAAAUCUAGGAAAAAUAUCCCUUCUUUAAAAUGGUUGGGGGAGGUGCAGGACUUAUGAUUUACAACAAAACUUAUUACGAAAAACAAGUAUGACGGACAUGAACAUUUCGGCAACUUCUAUUUAAAUAUUCAUGAGGAAAAGUGAUAUUCAGGGACUAUAUAUGACAAAGAAACAAACAGUCAACUCAAAAUGACUGCUUUUAAAAAUAGAACGAGUGCAAUAUAAAAGCCAAUAACUAGUAAAAAAUCUAAGACAAUGUGUGAAAUUCUUGUCACGCUUGUGUCUUUGUCAAAUUAUCUAGUUGUAAAAACUUAGUACAGUAUGUGUUUUGUGGCAUACUUGACACUUAUUUUUCAUUAUGUUUCAAGGAGAAAAAUAUUUAGAUAUCAUGGUAGUUCAUAUGUUAAUUAAGAAUCGGUGCUCACCCAUUACAUUAGGAAUAGAAAAUGCCAGAUACUAAAAAAAUCGUAUUGUACAGCUUAUAGGUUGAAGAUGAGCGUCAUUUUUCAAUCGAAUGCUCCCUUCAUAAUAAUUUGAGUGAGGAACUCUUUCAGCAUAUUUCUAGCACUUGUCAGAACUUUAAAAAGUUGGAUAAACAUGAUUAAUCUUCGAUGUCAACACAAGAAAACUUAACUUUUAUUGGAAAAAUUAUGAUUUUAUUAUUAGUUCAUUUGAAUUAUGUAGUACAGGUCUUGAUACUGACUGUUGUUUCAUAUCAAUGUGUUAGUUCUGUUUUUCCUAUUUUGUUUUGGCUCAUAUUGUGACUGAGGCUUAUGGUGAAAUAAAUAUAACUAGUAUAAAUUAGUAUUGUAAUGUCUUAAUGUUGACCCAAUCAUUAUACCGCCGCUUCGAAAAAGUGGGGAGUAUACUGUGUUACCUCUGUCUGACCGUCCAUCCAUCCGUCAGUUCGUCCGUCCGCCCCGUGAAUAUUUUCGUUGCUUCUUUUUCAUGAAAAAAACAUUACACGGAUUUCUGAAAUUUGGUGUCAGGGUUUAUUGAAGUCGGGUUUAUCGCGUGAUGCAUUUUCAGAUUCUUAACUCAACAACUUUCUGUUUACCGAACACUUUUUACAUAAGAGCUAAGUUGAACAUUUUCGUCACACUUUUCUCAGAAACUACAAUACAAUGAUUUCUGAAAUUUGGUUUCAAGGUUUAUAUAAGUCAGUUAUACUGUGUGAUGCUUUUUUAGAUUCACAUCUCAACAAUUUCCUGUUUACCGAAAUAUUUGGGCGGGGUAUCACCAGUAGCUGCACCAUCACUGGUGGUCAUGAUUUGUAUGCUCUUUAUAGACUGUGUUAUUUGGGAAAUGAAAUAUUCUUUUCUGUUCUAUUCUAUAUACUGUUCUAUUCUUUAUACAGAUUUCGAAUUGAAUAUAUAGAAAGUAUUCGAACUACCGUAGUCUUAUGUAUAUAAACGAGUAUUCUAAAUUGCUUACAUAACGUAAUAAUACGAGAGACAAAUAUUUUACCUGAUACUUGACUGAUAGUGUCGACUUAUGGGUGUCGGAGUAUUGGGCGUCGGAGCAAUGGUUGUCGGACUAAUGGGUUGUCGGACCAAGGGCGUCGGACUAAUGGGUCUAACCAAACAAAACAUGCGUGUUCUGAACUUUUCUACAAACAUAUUUUCCUAUUUUGUAAGCGAAAAAAAGCCUACAUGAAGUUUAAUUUUUCAAGACGCAGUGUUAAAGUUAUAAUGUCCCUCCCAUAGACUCAAUCAGUUUAUGUAUAAAAAAAUAAUAAAAAUGUUUAAAUGGGAAAAAAAUUCCUACCUACAUGUACCUAUUAAAAUAUACCCUAUCUAUUCAAAGAUGUAUCAGGAAACACACUCACAUAAUUUUAUAUAUAUGUUCGAAAGAAAGGAGCAGAUAUUAGGAUCAAGGGUCGAUGUUGCCUCAACCUUCGGGUUAAUCUGAAAUAUUUUUGCCACUUUUAUAAAACACUUAAAUCUAAGUGUCCAUACAUUCAUAGACUUUUAAUAGUACAUUGUAAUAGUUGAUUCAAUUAAUUCAUAUGAAAGAUUUUAACUCAUUUAGCUAUUAUGCUGAAAUUCAAGCUUUGAUAUGAAACAAUUAUCAAAUAUGCCAUUAUAUGUCACUUUUGAGAUGGUUUUUGUCAAAAAUGAAAACGAGUGCAUCCAUGUUAAUUCUCAACCUCUAAAUAUGUUAUGUAAAAUGCAUUGCAGCUCGAGUUAUUAUUUCAAACUGGACAGUGUUCAGCGCCAAGUAUUACAAAGUGAUUGGAUCAGAUCAAAAGAUGUAAAUCUUGAAGCACACAUUUCAACAUACAUGACAUAUAACCUAUAGAAAAAAGAGAAUAAGGAAAGACAGUGAAAAACAGGAAAUAUUUGAAAGGGUAAGCAUGGUAAACAUUUCUUUUUAAAUACAAUGUAUAGUAAUAUUCUGAUGAUGAAAUAAAUUUAUUAUAAUUUCCAUAAGGAAAUAAGCAUACCUCAUUUUAUAUUUAUCAUGUUACAAAAAUGAAAAUCUGCUUUAGACUCAAAUAAAUUUUAUAAAAUUUCAGAUAAAUAGUGUUUGAAGUAAACAAUUCAAAGAAAAAAUAAGUUCUGUAAUUGAGUACAAAGAGUCAAUUCAUAUAACAAAAGAGGGAUGUAUAAGUACGCAGCCACACGUUGGGCUGACUGAGCUUUGAUUUUAAUCAAAUUUGGCCAUUUUCUUUCAAAUAUUUUACAAUAAUAAAAGAGUACUUGUGGCAUGAUUGCCAAUGACAUGAGUGAGAUACAUUUGUACCAGACCAGUGCAUUAGAUGAGUCAUGAAAAGUGUCUCUUGUCCCUACAUCAGGAAUACUGAUACAAGCAUUUUUUUAUUUAAAAAACUUGCUUACAGAAUGUGGUUUAAAGUAUAUUUAUUUCUUGGUUUUAAUUUAUAUCAAUUUCUGGUACCUUUAUAAUAUACUUUUGAUAUAUCUCCAUUUGUUUUAUUUUAAUGUUUUAUAGAUACAGCUAUUAUUUCAUAUUGGACAAUGUUCAGCGGCAAGUAUUACAUUGUGAUUUGGAUCAGAUCAAAAGAUGUGUACAUUGAAGCAUACAUUCGGAGCCAUAGAAUAAAAAGAAAAAGAAAUUACAGUGAAAAACAGGUAAUUUUGAAAGGUUUUAUGAUAGACUUAUUAAGAUAAUUUCUAUCCGGAAGUUAGUAUACCUCAUUUCAUAUUUAUUGCUACAAAAUUUGCUUUUCAAUCAAAUAAAUUGUAUAAAAUUUCAGAUAAAUAGUGUUUGAAGUAAACAAUACAAAGAAAACUGAAGUUCGGUAAUUGAGUACCAAGAGUCAAUUCAUAUAACAAAAGAGGGAUGUAUAAGUACGCAGCCACACGUUGGGCUGACUGAGCUUUGAUUUUAAUCAAAUUUGGCCAUUUUCUUUCAAAAUAUUUUACAAUAAUAAAAGAGUACUUGUGGCAUGAUUGCCAAUGACAUGAGUGAGAUACAUUUGUACCAGACCAGUGCAUUAGAUGAGUCAUGAAAAGUGUCUCUUGUCCUCUACAUCAGGAAUACUGAUACAAGCAUUUUUUUUAUUGAAAAAAACUUGCUUACAGAAUGUGGUUUAAAGUAUAUUUAUUUCUUGGUUUUAAUUUAUAUCAAUUUCUGGUACCUUUAUAAUAUACUUUUGAUAUAUCUCCAUUUGUUUUAUUUUAAUGUUUUAUAGAUACAGCUAUUAUUUCAUAUUGGACAAUGUUCAGCGGCAAGUAUUACAAAGUGAUUGGAUCAGAUCAAAUCAAAAGAUGUAAAUCUUGAAGCACACAUUCCGACUUGUAGAAUAAACAUGAUAAAGAGAUGAAGGAAAGACAGUGAAAAACAGGAAAUAUUUUAAAGGGUAAACAUGGUACACAUUUCGUUUUUAAAUACAAUGUAUAGUAAUAUACUGACGAUGAAAUAAAUUUAUGAUAGUUUCCAUCAGGAAAUAAGCGUAGCUCAUUUUAUCUUUAUUGUUACAAAAUAUGCUUUACACUCAAAUAAAUUGUAUAAAAUUUCAGAUAAAUAGUGUUUGAAGUAAACAAUACAAAGAAAAAUAAGUUCGGUAAUUGAGAACAAAGAGUCAAUUCAUAUCACAAAAGUUGGAUGUAUAAGUACGCAGCCACACAUUGGGCUGACUGAGCUUUGAUUUUAAUCAAAUUUGGCCACUUUCUUUCAAAUAUUUUACAAUAAUAAAAGAGAACUUGUGGCAUGAUUGCCAAUGACAUGAAUGAGAUAUGUUUGUACCAGAGACCAAAGUGCAUUAGAUGAGUACUGAAAAGUGUCUCUUGUCCUCUACAUCAGGAAUACUGGUACAAGCAUUUUUUAUUGGAAAAAACUUGCUUACAGAUUGUGGUUUAAAGUAUAUUUAUUUCUUAGUUAUAAUGUAUAUCAGUUUCUGGUACCUUUAUAAUAUACUUUUGAUAUGUCUCCAUUUGUUUUAUUUUAAUGUUUUAUAGAAACAGCUUUUAUUUCGUAGUGGACAAUGUUCAGCGGCAAGUAUUACAAUGUGAUUUGGAUCAGAUCAAAAGAUGUUUACAUUGAAGCAUACAUUCCGACCAAUAGAAUAAAGAGAAAAAGAUGAUACAGUGAAAAACAGGAAAUAUUUGAAAGGGUAAACAUUUCUUUUUUAAAUAUGAUAGACUUAUUAUGAUAAUUUCCAUCCGGAAAUUAGUAUACCUCAUUUCAUAUUUAUUGUUACAAAAUUUGCUUUACAAAUAAAUUCUAUAAAAUUUCAGAUAAAUAGUGUUUGAAAUAAACAAUACAAAGAAAAACUAAGUUCGGUAAUUGAGAACAAAGAGUCAAUUCAUAUAACAAAAGAGGGAUGUAUAAGUACGUAGCCACACAUUGGGCUGACUGAGCUUUGAUUUUAAUCAAAUUUGGCAACUUUCUUUCAAAUAUUUUACAAUAAUAAAAGAGAACUUGUGGCAUGAUUGCCAAUGAGAUAACUUUGUACAAGAGAUCAAAGUGCAUUAGAUGAGUUUAAAGUGUCUCUUGUCCUCUACAUCAGGAAUACUGAUACAAGCAUUUUUUAUUAGAAAAACUUACUUACAGAUUGUGGUUUAAAGUAUAUUUAUUUCUUAGUUAUAAUUUAUAUCAAUUUCUGGUACCUUUAUAACAAACUUUUAAUAUGUCUCCAUUUUUUUUAUUUUAAUGUUUUAUAGAUACAGCUAUUAUUUCAUAUUGGACAAUGUUCAGCGGCAAGUAUUACAUUGUGAUUUGGAUCAGAUCAAAAGAUGUGUACAUUAAGAGAUACAUUCGGAGCCAUAGAAUAAAAAGAAAAAGAAAUUACAGUGAAAAACAGGUAACUUUGAAAGGUUAAACAGUUCUGUUUUAAAUAUGAUAGACUUAUUAAGAUAAUUUCUAUCCGGAAAUUAGUAUACCUCAUUUCAUAUUUAUUGCAACAAAAUUUGCUUUACAAUUAAAUUGUAUAAAAUUUCAGAUAAAUUGUGUUAAAAGUAAACAAUACAAAGAAAAAAUAAGUUCGGUAAUUGAAUACAAAGAGUUGAUUUUAUAUAACAAAAGAGGGAUGUAUAAGUACAAAGCCACACAUUGGGCUGACUUAGAUUUGAUUUCAUUCAAAUUUGGCAACUUUCUUUCAAAUAUUUUACAAUAUAAUAAAAGAGAACUUGUGGAAUGAUUGCCAAUAAGAUAACUUUGUACCAGAGACCAAAGUGCAUAAGAUGAGUACUGAAAAGUGUCUUUUGUCUAUUACUGACUGAUACAUGUAUAAGCCUUUUUUUUAUGGAAAAUAUUUACUUUCAGAUUGUGGUUUAAAGUAGCAUACAUUUCUUAGUUAUAGUUUAUAUCAAUUGCUGGUACCUUUAUAACAAACUUUUAAUAUGCCUCCAUUUGUUUUAUUUUGAUGUUUUAUAGAUACAGCUAUUAUUUCAAAAAGGACAGUGUUCAGCAGCAAGUAUUACAAUGUGAUUUGGAUCCAAUCAAAAGCACAAACUGACAAAUGAAAUAUCAAAGAAUUAUCCACAGACAAUUCUAAAAGAUAGUGAGAGACAGGAAAUAUUUGAUAAGGUUAACAUUUUUAAAUAGUAAGCAGAUUGUGGCCUAAUUAUGAUUUAUAAACCUAGAUUAAGAUAUACAAAAUGUAUGAAAAUUUUGCUUGUACUUUUUCAAAUAAUACAAUUUGUUUUCAUAGUAAUUCUCACAUAUUACAAUUGUGAUAAAGGCUUAACAGAUAUUUAUACAUGUUACAAAUAGUAUUAUCAUUGUCAGUAUAAUUGUUUCACAAAUUAGGAUUAUUUAAUCAUCUCUGCUGUAAAAUUAUAAAAAAAAAUUAAGAUAGUCAUUUACUGGUUAGAGUCUUAACAAGUGGUAAUUGUGUACUUUUAUUAUUUACCAAUUUACUCCUAUUAAAGAUGUGUCAUUCUUUGUAAGAGGUAUAUCAGGGCAAUGCAAAGUGAUAAAAUAUGUUAAACUGUAUCCUCUUAAAAAAAUGUCAGAUUUCAGGUAAAGGGGAAAUAACUCUUACAAUAUCAAAACACUGAAAAUAAGAACUUUGAGAAUAUCAUUUUUUUUUUAAACUUGUAUAUCCUGGAUAUUUUAAUCAUUACACUAUGAUAUUUAAACACAUUACCAUAUGAUGUUAAAACACAGUACCAAUGUACAUAAAGAGUGCAUGUCAUAUUUUAAGUCAAGGGGAAAUAACCUUUACAAUAUCAAAAUAUUUAAAUUAGAAAUGUAAGAGUAUUACAUAUAUUAUACUGUUUUCAACUUCAACAAAAUGGUUUUUAAUACUGUUUAAUCAUAUAUUUUUAUAUUCUCAGCUUGAACAGAACAUCUAUCCAGCACUUGAAACUUUUUUUUUCUUCAAAUUAUCAUGAAGUUUUAUAUUUUACAGAAGUAUCAUACAAUAAUGUGCAGUCAAGAACUUGGUGUUAUUCGGGACAUGGAUUAAAUGGAUCAUGAACCAAAUUUCAGAUUGUGAUAAUGGUAAGUAAUUGUAACCAACUAUGUCUUGAAUAUUCACAUACAUAAAAAUGAAUAUAGGUUGAAACUGUCAUCCAGCAGUUAACAAUUUUUAUCAUUCAGAAAGAAAAAUGUGCAAAAAAGUAAUAAAUUUCGGAUUGAAACACAUUAUAAGAAAUUAGCUUAAAUGUCAUGAAAGUUAUUAUAUGUUGAUUCUCAUAUUUUUCUCUGUGAUUUAUAAAUUUAAUUCCUUCUGGCAAGCACUGACUCAGUAUAGGACUUGAGAAAAUUGUCAAGACAAAUCACAAAUGAAGUAUUUGAGAACAUGAAGCACAUUAAAACUAUUUGAGAACACUGUCAAUGUCAAGUACAUAAAUAUAUUUGAGAAAUACAAUUUGAGAAAACUGUCAACAUAAAGUACAUAGAAAUUAUUUUGAGAAAUAUUAUUUGAGAAACACUGUGAACAAGAAGCACAUAAACUAUUUGCGAAAAGACUGUCAAUAUGAAGCACAUAAACUAUUUGAGAAACACCGUCAACAUGAAGCACAUAAACUAUUUGACCAACACCGUCAACAUGAAGCACAUUAAACUGUUUGACCAACACGUCAACAUGAAGCACAUUAAAACUAUUUGACCAACACCGUCAACAUGAAGCACAUAAACUAUUUGACCAACACCGUCAAUAUGAAGCACAUAAAGUAUUUGACCAACACCGUCAACAUGAAGCACAUAAACUAUUUGACCAACACCGUCAACAUGCAUAAACUAUUUCACCAACACCGUCAACGUGAAGCACAUAAACUAUUUGACCAACACCGUCAAUGUGAAGCACAUAAACUAUUUGACCAACACCGUCAAUGUGAAGCACAUAAAUAUAUUUGAUAAAUGCUGUCAACAUGAAGCACAUAAAAAAUAUUUGAGACAAAUGUCAACCUGUAGCACACAAACAAUUUGAAAAGAAAUUGUCAAUCUGAAGCAGCCAAACUGCUUGAAAAAAAACUUAACAUGUAAUAUAAACCCUACUUGAUACAACUUUCAACAUGAAGCCCAAAUGAAAUAUUUACAUAAAAUAUGGCCCUGUCACGUUGGCCACUUUACUGAGUAAAGAGUUUCCAGUUGAUACCGCGUGGAGGUGUGACUUGGACUUGGUCAUAUUAACCCAUUUAUCAACCUUUUUUUUUUUUUUUUUUCUUCAUUAUGUAAGAAGAUUUUUUUUUUUAUUAAAAAAGUGUAAUUUAAUUUUAACAGUAUAAAUUUUAAAUAUGAGCAUACAUAUCAACACAACACAAACUGUAUCUAUAUUUUUUAUUACUGCUAAGUCGGAACUUCUACUGUAUUAUGUAAAAAAAAAAUAAUUCUCACCGAACAUUAUUUUUGAAUAUAUUCUGCUUUCAGAAUGUGAAAACAGAUGAAUUCAAGUGGACAGCUA